UGAGGAAUAUUGGUCAAUGGGCGCAAGCCUGAACCAGCCAUCCCGCGUGCAGGAAGACGGCCCUAUGGGUUGUAAACUGCUUUUCCAGGGAGAGAAACCUGCGCACGUGUUGCGCAAUUGACGGUACCCUGGGAAUAAGCAUCGGCUAACUCCGUGCCAGCAGCCGCGGUAAUACGGAGGAUGCAAGCGUUAUCCGGAUUCAUUGGGUUUAAAGGGUGCGUAGGCGGACUAUUAAGUCAGUGGUGAAAGCCUGCAGCUUAACUGCAGAACUGCCAUUGAUACUGAUAGGCUUGAGUAGGGUUAAGGUAGGCGGAAUGUGUAGUGUAGGGGUGAAAUGCGUAGAUAUGACACGGAACACCAAUUGCGUAGGCAGCUUACGGAGCCUACACUGACGCUGGGGCACGAAAGCGUGGGGA
rnacentral:rRNA from 1 species